UACGUAGGUGGCAAGCGUGUCCGGAAUUAUUGGGCGUAAAGCGCGCGCAGGCGGCUUCUUAAGUCUGAUGUGAAAUCUCGGGGCUCAACCCCGAGCGGCCAUUGGAAACUGGGAAGCUUGAGUACAGAAGAGGAGAGUGGAAUUCCACGUGUAGCGGUGAAAUGCGUAGAUAUGUGAAGGAACACCAGUGGCGAAGGCGACUCUCUGGUCUGUAACUGACGCUGAGGCGCGAAAGCGUGGGGAGCAAACAGG
rnacentral:rRNA from 1 species